AGUGAACGCUGGCGGUAGGCCUAACACAUGCAAGUCGAACGGCAGCACAGUAAGAGCUUGCUCUUACGGGUGGCGAGUGGCGGACGGGUGAGGAAAGCAUCGGAAUCUACUUUUUCGUGGGGGGUAACGUAGGGAAACUUACGCUAAUACCGCAUACGACCUACGGGUGAAAGCAGGGGAUCUUCGGACCUUGCGCGAUUGAAUGAGCCGAUGUCGGAUUAGCUAGUUGGCGGGGUAAAGGCCCACCAAGGCGACGAUCCGUAGCUGGUCUGAGAGGAUGAUCAGCCACACUGGAACUGAGACACGGUCCAGACUCCUACGGGAGGCAGCAGUGGGGAAUAUUGGACAAUGGGCGCAAGCCUGAUCCAGCCAUACCGCGUGGGUGAAGAAGGCCUUCGGGUUGUAAAGCCCUUUUGUUGGGAAAGAAAAGCAGCAGGUUAAUACCCCGCUGUUCUGACGGUACCCAAAGAAUAAGCACCGGCUAACUUCGUG
rnacentral:rRNA from 1 species